CUGAUGCAGCCAUGCCGCGUGUGUGAAGAAGGCCUUCGGGUUGUAAAGCACUUUCAGUUGUGAGGAAAAGUUAGUAGUUAAUACCUGCUAGCCGUGACGUUAACAACAGAAGAAGCACCGGCUAACUCCGUGCCAGCAGCCGCGGUAAUACGGAGGGUGCGAGCGUUAAUCGGAAUUACUGGGCGUAAAGCGCACGCAGGCGGUUUGUUAAGCUAGAUGUGAAAGCCCCGGGCUCAACCUGGGAUGGUCAUUUAGAACUGGCAGACUAGAGUCUUGGAGAGGGGAGUGGAAUUCCAGGUGUAGCGGUGAAAUGCGUAGAUAUCUGGAGGAACAUCAGUGGCGAAGGCGACUCCCUGGCCAAAGACUGACGCUCAUGUGCGAAAGUGUGGGUAGCGAACAGGAUUAGAUACCCUGGUAGUCCACACCGUAAACGCUGUCUACUAGCUGUGUGUGUCUUUAAGACGUGCGUAGCGAAGCUAACGCGCUAAGUAGACCGCCUGGGGAGUACGGCCGCAAGGUUAAAACUCAAAUGAAUUGACGGA
rnacentral:rRNA from 1 species